UGGUGGAUCUACUAGCAUAUUAGAAUAGGCAUCAUAAUAGCUCUCAAAUGGCAGCGGUGUGGCGGAUGAUACCUUUGUGCUUAAUGUGGUAUUUAUGGACGGAAAGGAAUGAUAGGUGUUUUAACAAUAAGGAGCGUGUAGUGGGAGGAAUCUGGAAUUUAUUUGUUUUCUUUCUUUUACAGUGGCUUUCUGCUAUUGUACAAAGGGUGGGAAUAUCCAUGAUUUU